rnacentral:tRNA from 2 species
GCCGGGAUUGCCUAGCCUGGUAAGGCGCAGGCUUGCUAAGCCUGUGGGGAUUUUCCCCGCGUGGGUUCAAAUCCCACUCCCGGCG